CAAUGAAGGGCAGCAAAGUACAUGUGCAUCAAAAGUUUAAAAACUACAAAAGACAAUAGUAUAUGUCAAAACAUGCAAAAUGAGUCAUCUGAGGAGUAAAGGCUGUGUAUACAGAGGCAGGAGAUGCAGCCAAAAAAUUAGAGGUAAAUGUGACAGCAGAGUCAUCAGAGGAACUAGUUGCUGGAAUGGAAUUUUCAGGGAGACCAUGGGGGAGGUGAGGUUGGAAAUUUAGCUUGAUAAUACAAUAAAUUGCAGUAAUAGCCUAAAUAGUUCUCCAUUUUCUCUCUCAAUUGUAAUUACCUACAAUUGUUUUGCCCUUGAUUUAAAUCGGUACAUGUGAGUACGCCUGCUGCCCAGGAUGAAGACACACAGUUGGUCUUGCUUUUCCAAUAAGUACAAAAGGACAGGCAAUGACAAGCAUCUUGGCUGAUGAUGAUAAUGUUUAAAAUAUUUUAUUUAACAAGUUUUUAUCCUAACUCUUCUUCAUCCAACAGGCUCACAUCACUGUCAGCAGCCCUGAAACACUUUCUAUGGUUGGUGUAUCUCUUUCUAUUUCUCUCCAUCUUAACAUCCUGGAUCAGCUGUCAGCAGUCUUGAAAGUUUGAUUUAAAGCAAAAUCAAACAGAUGUGGAAAAAUUGGAACCCUCAUCCAUUGCUGGUGAGAAUGUAAUGGUGCAGCCACUAUGGAAAACUGUUUGGCAGUUCCUGAAAAUAGUAAAGACAGAGUUAUUAAAUACCACAUGACCCAGAAAUUCCUAAGUAUAUACCCUAGAGAAAUGAAAACAUGUUCACACAAAGACUUGUACGUGAACGUUCAUAGUGCCAUUAUUCACAGGGGCCAAAAAGCAGAAACAACUCAGGUGUCCAUCAACUGAUGAAUGAACAGGUAUAAAAAGCAAGAAGUAUUGACACAUGCUACAACAUAGAUAAACCUUUUCCACAGGGAGUUGGACAAUGGGGAAUGACUGCUAAAGGACUUUUUGGGGGGGUGAUGAAAGUAUUCUAAAAUGAGAUGGUAGUAAUGGUUGCACACUGUGAAUAUGCUCAAAACCAUUGACUUGUACACUUCAAGUGGAUGAAUUGUAUGGUAUACGAAUUGUAUCUCAAUAAAGCUGUUUUAAAAAUCAAACACAGCUGGGCAUGGUGGCUCAUGCCUGUAAUCCCAGCACUUUGGGAGGCUGAGGCAGGUGGAUCACGAGGUCAGGACUUCAAGACCAGCCUGGCCAACAUGGUGAAACCCCGUCUCUACUAAAAAUACAAAAAAUUAGCCGAGUGUGGUGGCAGGCACCUGUAAUCCCAGCUACUCAGGAGGCUGAGGUAGGAGGAUCGCUUGAACCGAGAGGCGAAGGUUGCAGUCACCCGAGACUAUGCCACUGCACUCCAGCCUGGGCAACAAAGCGAGACCCCAUCUCAAAAAAAAAAAAAAAGAAAAGAAAAAAA
rnacentral:lncRNA from 1 species